rnacentral:lncRNA from 1 species
AAACGGCUGGGUAGGAAGCACGCUAGCAGGGGCCUCUGGCCUUGCUGAGGGUCCCUGUUUCCCCUUUUCCUUCCUUUUCACCCAACAAAACCCUGCUUUACUCACCCUUCAAACCAUCUAUGAGCCUAAAUUGUCGUGGUCGUGGAAUGGACAAGGACCCAGUCUUUAGCUGAACUAAGGGAAAGUCCUGCUUUUUGGCGCGCAACAGGGGAGCUCAAGAAACAGGCCUCACUCACGGCAUAUGGAACUAACCACGCCCCUAACUAAGAAGGCACACCUUAGUUGCAGUUAGCACACAAUUAAAGCAACUCUCCAAGUUUUACCUUAAAGUUCAAAAUUGCUAGGAGUUGAAACUACUAGAAAUAUAUUUACAUGCAAGAGUCAAAGAAACUUUGAACUAUUUAUGGCCUUUAAUAAUUAAGUAAGGUAUACUCCUGUGAUCAAGACUUGGAGCAUAUUUGUUUCUCUCUGCCUGGUUCCUCUAGAAAUUGGAAACUAUCAGAACAGAGACCAACUCCGUUUCCCGAUCCCUUUGCAAUCUGCAUUGAACCAUGAGUCAAGUUCUUGAUAAAGGAGUGAAAAUGGAUGACAUUUAAGGCACAUCUGAAGAUGGGGAAACCACAGCACAGAAUAAGGCUGGGCCCUUGAAUCAAUAAAUGAAGGAGAACUACUCAAGAGAACAAAACCACCAGCAAUAUCCACCUGUAUUUGUCUUUUCAUA